CCAGGCGCUCCCAUCAAGUUCUUCCAGCCUGAAGCCAGCUGUGGACUGCAGCCUCUGAACACUGUGAGCCGGGAUACACCUGUCCUCCUCACAACUGUGUAGAGUGACCUGUAAACAACAGGAUGAAGGACUGAGGAGGAGGAAACCUGCUGGGAAGACUCACCUGGUGAAGAGCGGGGCUCCUGUCCUCAGUCUUUAAAGGACUCAUGUGGCAGCCAGCGCUGGGUAGAAUGGAACCUCUCUGAGGUCUAACAUUUCUACUAACUGCAAUUGUUCGCCUUGAAACUGAUAAAUCAUAUCUUAAAUGAUGCCAAAAAAUGAAAUUUUUUUUAAUCUGAGAUUAUACCAUUCACUUUAUCAACCACUCUGGAAUCACCGAUUUUGUUCAAGGAUGGAGAAAUAGCCUGAAGCCUGAAGUCGUUCAGAUUCAUUUUCAAAGCCUGACUGGGAGCCGCUUUGGUCAAUCAGAAAGCAACAGAAGUACAACAGACUUCUCAGGGGGUGGCAGGAGAUGGGUGGGAGGUCAGUCACCGAUCUCCAAAGCCACCUCCCCUACUCAGGAGGCACAGAUUCAAGCCCAGCAAAGGCAGAACUUUGCUUCUCUAGUGACUAUCUAACAUUAGUGCACAUUGGCUGUUCUCAAUGUUCGGUCCCCUGAGCAAGGACAAAAUGACUUAGAGAAGUCCCACUACCCCUAUGCCAAUAGUCAUGUGCCUUAAAAUGUUUUUUUUUUUUUACUCACUUCUUUACUGUAUAUACCAAGCAAGAUAAAGAAUGAGAUUCCAUGUAAUGAAUUACACAGUGUGCAAUGAAUACCACAUCAUUACUGGCUGUUAUAUUGAGUCUACCUUCAUUCUUUAAAAUGUCCUCAAUGAGCAAGAAGGUUUUAGAAUGGAGAAUGACCCCCAUCCAUUCUCACGUUAUAUAAAGAACACAACUAAGGGCAGGGCUAGGUUUGAAUUUGAGACAUUAUUCAAAGAUAAACCAAAGUCUGAACAUCAGGGAUCCAGAGGGGUAGUUGCUUCACAGUACAAUACAAGGGAAAGGGAAUUAAGAACCAUCUGCAUUUAGUAUCCUUUCAACUGCCAUCAUGCCACACAUUGCAAAAUGGCUCCAUGGCAAAUAUUCAGAAGAAGACAGCUGAAGCACUCCUUGGUAAGAUAUUGUCUUUUUGUAAUAUCCAUUUAAAGGGAGCUGCAAAAGUAAAGGCAGAUGUGUAAUAUAUGGUUGGCACCAUUUUUAUUUUCUUAUACAUCUUGCCACUGUCUGGGGGCAAUGCUCUAGUGACU